GGGCUUGUAGUCUAACUUGGUUAGGAUUCGGGGUUUGGGACCCUGCGAUCCCGGUUCAAAUCCGGGCAAGCUCA
rnacentral:tRNA from 4 species